GAACGGGUGAGUAACACGUGGGUGAUCUGCCCUGCACUCUGGGAUAAGCCUGGGAAACUGGGUCUAAUACCGGAUAGGACCACACACUUCAUGGUGAGUGGUGCAAAGCUUUUGCGGUGUGGGAUGAGCCCGCGGCCUAUCAGCUUGUUGGUGGGGUAAUGGCCCACCAAGGCGACGACGGGUAGCCGGCCUGAGAGGGUGACCGGCCACACUGGGACUGAGAUACGGCCCAGACUCCUACGGGAGGCAGCAGUGGGGAAUAUUGCACAAUGGGCGCAAGCCUGAUGCAGCGACGCCGCGUGAGGGAUGACGGCCUUCGGGUUGUAAACCUCUUUCAGUAGGGACGAAGCGAAAGUGACGGUACCUACAGAAGAAGGACCGGCCAACUACGUGCCAGCAGCCGCGGUAAUACGUAGGGUCCGAGCGUUGUCCGGAAUUACUGGGCGUAAAGAGCUCGUAGGUGGUUUGUCGCGUUGUUCGUGAAAACUCACAGCUUAACUGUGGGCGUGCGGGCGAUACGGGCAGACUAGAGUACUGCAGGGGAGACUGGAAUUCCUGGUGUAGCGGUGGAAUGCGCAGAUAUCAGGAGGAACACCGGUGGCGAAGGCGGGUCUCUGGGCAGUAACUGACGCUGAGGAGCGAAAGCGUGGGUAGCGAACAGGAUUAGAUACCCUGGUAGUC
rnacentral:rRNA from 1 species